GGCUCGGUAGCUUAGUUGGUAAAGCGCUCAUCUAGCAUACAAGAAUCCUGGAUUCGAACCCCAGCCAACCA
rnacentral:tRNA from 1 species